GAGAAAUCGACACCCGGGGUCUGAACUGCCCCCUGCCCAUCCUGAAGGCCAAGAAGGCCCUGGCCGAGAUGCUG
rnacentral:tRNA from 1 species